ensembl:scaRNA
CAGCCAAUGAUGAUGUGGCCACUGCACAAUCUGAGUUCUGGGAACCACAUGGUGGAGUGUGUUCUGGGAAUAGACUGCAGCAA